AAACGAUUGGGUACUCCGUCAAAGAUGCUUUCUCUUUUGGGUGAGAGUGAAUUAUUCCCAAGUUUGUCACGUGCUACCUCCGGUCACACCGAGAAGGGAUGUAAGUUCUCUGCUCUUGUGAUCCCAGGACAUCAUGAACUGGUUGUAGCUCUGUUUGAGCGCAAAGUCGGAGUAUCCUUUUCCGUGAUUGGUCUCAGGUUUCUGUUCCCCGGACUCCUUUGGGGGGUCCCUAGGCCUCUGAGACAGAAGUGGCCCGACCCUUUAAUUCAGCCGCGGGAAACUGUGGCCAGUUUACGACCUGUGGACUUCAACUCUCAGAAAUGAGGACGGUUGGCGUUUAUCUGAAACCUCCGUUCCCUUCCGCAGGCUUCUUUCCAACGCUCCAACAGUCACGACAAAGUCAGGAAAAUUGUAGCCGAGGAGGGUCGCACCGCAAGAAACCUGAUUGCUUGGAGCGUGCCGCUGGAGAACAAGGAAGAGGAAGGAAAACCGAAGUGGCAGGUAGGGGCCAAAUCGAAGAGGAUAAACCAAGGAACACACAAAAUUAGCAAACAGAGCACGGCGUCCGAUUGCAAAAUCACACCAGCCACGGGGGAGAAGACCUACUAUAAAAGCCCCACCAAAACCAGGCAGCCACGGAAAGUGGACCUCCGGGCGCGAUACUGGGCGUUCCUUUUCGACAACCUCAGGCGGGCGGUGGAUGAAAUCUACGUCACUUGUGAAUCGGACCAGAGUGUGGUGGAAUGUAAAGUAAGGCUC